AAUAAUUUUUUUAUUUUUUGUAAUUCUUGCGCGACCAAAACAUACGUCGCGCAAAAAGUGUUUGCGAGACGUAUGUUUUCGUCGCGCAAAUAUAUGAG
rnacentral:miRNA from 1 species